UACGGAGGGUGCAAGCGUUAAUCGGAAUUACUGGGCGUAAAGCGCGCGCAGGCGGUCUUCCAAGUCAGUGGUGAAAGCCCGGAGCUCAACUCCGGAAUUGCCAUUGAAACUGUUAGACUUGAGGAUGAGAGAGGUGAGUGGAAUUCCCAGUGUAGAGGUGAAAUUCGUAGAUAUUGGGAAGAACACCGGUGGCGAAGGCGGCUCACUGGCUCAUUACUGACGCUCAGGCGCGAUAGCGUGGGGAUCAAACAGG
rnacentral:rRNA from 1 species